rnacentral:rRNA from 1 species
UACGGAGGGUGCAAGCGUUAGUCGGAAUUACUGGGCGUAAAGGGUGCGUAGGCGGAUCUAUAAGUCAGACGUGAAAUUCCGAGGCUUAACCUCGGAGCGGCAUCUGAAACUGUGGAUCUAGCGGAAUGGCGGAGAAAACGGAAUUCCACGUGUAGCGGUGAAAUGCGUAGAUAUGUGGAAGAACACCUGUGGCGAAAGCGGUUUUCUAGCCUACUCCGGACGCUGAGGCACGAAAGCUAGGGGAGCAAACAGG